rnacentral:tRNA from 1 species
GCGGACGUAGCCCGACCGGCCGAGGCGGCGAGAUCGAAUCUCGCGCGAUGCGCGUUCGAGUCGCGCCGUCCGCA